rnacentral:rRNA from 1 species
UCAGAACGAACGCUGGCGGCAUGCCUAACACAUGCAAGUCGAACGAUAAGCAUCCUUCGGGAUGUGGACAGUGGCGCACGGGUGAGUAACACGUGGGGACCUACCAUACAGUACGGAACAACCGUUGGAAACGACGGCUAAUACCGUAUACGCUCUUCGGAGGAAAGAUUUAUCGCUGUAUGAUGGACCCGCGCUGGAUUAGAUAGUUGGUGAGGUAAUGGCUCACCAAGUCUGCGAUCCAUAGCUGGUUUGAGAAGAUGAUCAGCCACAUUGGGACUGAGACACGGCCCAGACUCCUACGGGAGGCAGCAGUGGGGAAUAUUGCACAAUGGGCGCAAGCCUGAUGCAGCAAUGCCGCGUGAGUGAAGACGGCCUUAGGGUUGUAAAACUCUUUCGCUAGGGAAGAUAAUGACUGUACCUAGUAAAGAAGUCCCGGCUAACUCCGUGCCAGCAGCCGCGGUAAUACGGAGGGGACUAGCGUUGUUCGGAAUUACUGGGCGUAAAGAGUUCGUAGGCGGACUGGCAAGUAAGAGGUGAAAUCCCGGGGCUCAACCCCGGAACUGCCUUUUAAACUGCCAAUCUAGAGACCGGAAGAGGUUAGGGGAAUACCUAGUGUAGAGGUGAAAUUCGUAGAUAUUAGGUGGAACACCAGUGGCGAAGGCGCCUAACUGGUCCGGUACUGACGCUGAGGAACGAAAGCGUGGGGAGCAAACAGGAUUAGAUACCCUGGUAGUCCACGCCGUAAACGAUGAGUGCUAGAUGUUGGGAUCUUCGGAUUUCAGUGUCGCAGCUAACGCAUUAAGCACUCCG